UGAGAGUCAUUAAAUUCUCAACCUUACAAAUUUUUGUAUUUGUCAAGGCUUGGAUGUGAGAGUUGCUGGUUAGAGUAUAUUCUGACUGGCUCUCUUUAAAACUAUUAGUAGGACAUGUAGAAAUGCCUACGGUUGGUGUGAUAAUAUGUCUACGCCUAUACCGGAAGGGGGAUUCUAGCUUGUAUGUACUACUUAUAAAAUCAUGCGCAUAUAUCUAGCAUAUAAGUGCAUACAUUGACCAUUUGACCUCAAAUCAGGUAGGACUACCCUCUGAACUUAAGCAUAUCAAUAAGCGGAGGAAAUCACGAAU
rnacentral:rRNA from 1 species